rnacentral:rRNA from 1 species
GACGAACGCUGGCGGCGUGCUUAACACAUGCAAGUCGAACGGAAAGGCCCUGCUUUUGUGGGGUGCUCGAGUGGCGAACGGGUGAGUAACACGUGAGUAACCUGCCCUUGACUUUGGGAUAACUUCAGGAAACUGGGGCUAAUACCGGAUAGGAGCUCCUGCUGCAUGGUGGGGGUUGGAAAGUUUCGGCGGUUGGGGAUGGACUCGCGGCUUAUCAGCUUGUUGGUGGGGUAGUGGCUUACCAAGGCUUUGACGGGUAGCCGGCCUGAGAGGGUGACCGGCCACAUUGGGACUGAGAUACGGCCCAGACUCCUACGGGAGGCAUCAGUGGGGAAUAUUGCACAAUGGGCGGAAGCCUGAUGCAGCAACGCCGCGUGCGGGAUGACGGCCUUCGGGUUGUAAACCGCUUUCGCCUAUGACGAAGCGUGAGUGACGGUAAUGGGUAAAGAAGCACCGGCUAACUACGUG